UACAGAGGUGCCAAGCGUUGUUCGGAUUUAUUGGGCGUAAAGGGUGCGUAGGCGGUUGUACAAGUCGGGUGUGAAAUUCCGGAGCCUAACUCCGUAACGGCAUUCGAAACUGUACAGCUAGAGAUCUGGAGAGGUGAUUGGAAUUCUCGGUGUAGCAGUGAAAUGCGUAGAUAUCGAGAGGAACACCAGAGGCGAAAGCGAAUCACUGGACAGAAUCUGACGCUGAGGCACGAAAGCUAGGGGAGCAAACGGG
rnacentral:rRNA from 1 species